rnacentral:rRNA from 1 species
GAUGAACGCUAGCUACAGGCUUAACACAUGCAAGUCGAGGGACCGGCGCGCGGGUGAGUAACACGUAUCCCACCUGCCCUUUACUCGGGGAUAGCCUUUCGACAGCAAGAUUAAUACCCGAUAUAAAGGAUGGAGAUGCGUUCCAUUAGGUUGUUGGUGAGGUAACGGCUCACCAAGCCUUCGAUGGAUAGGGGUUCUGAGAGGAAGGCCCACCAGAUUGGAACUGAGACACGGUCCAAACGCCUACGGGAGGCAGCAGUGAGGAAUAUUGGUAAAUGGGCGCGAGGCUGAACCAGCCAAGUAGCGUGAAGGAGGAAGGCUUAUGGGUCUUAAACUUCGUUUAUAUAAGAAUAUGUAUUAGAUGAAUAAGUAUCGGCUAACUCCGUGCCAGCAGCCGCGGUAAUUC